ACGGGUGAGUAACGCGUGGGAACGUGCCUUCUGGUUCGGAAUAACUCAGGGAAACUUGAGCUAAUACCGGAUACGCCCUUUUGGGGAAAGGUUUACUGCCGGAAGAUCGGCCCGCGUCUGAUUAGCUAGUUGGUGGGGUAACGGCCUACCAAGGCGACGAUCAGUAGCUGGUCUGAGAGGAUGAUCAGCCACACUGGGACUGAGACACGGCCCAGACUCCUACGGGAGGCAGCAGUGGGGAAUAUUGGACAAUGGGCGCAAGCCUGAUCCAGCCAUGCCGCGUGAGUGAUGAAGGCCUUAGGGUUGUAAAGCUCUUUUAUCCGGGACGAUAAUGACGGUACCGGAGGAAUAAGCCCCGGCUAACUUCGUGCCAGCAGCCGCGGUAAUACGAAGGGGGCUAGCGUUGCUCGGAAUCACUGGGCGUAAAGGGCGCGUAGGCGGUCUUUUAAGUCGGGGGUGAAAGCCCGUGGCUCAACCACAGAAUUGCCUUCGAUACUGGGAGACUUGAGUUCGGAAGAGGUUGGUGGAACUGCGAGU
rnacentral:rRNA from 1 species